GUGUCCACCUCUUCCCAUUCCGAACAGAGAAGUUAAGCCCACCAGAGCCGAUGGUACUGCGGUAACACGUGGGAGAGUAGGUCGGUGCCAGAU
rnacentral:rRNA from 1 species